rnacentral:misc_RNA from 1 species
UCAAACUUGGUCAUUUAGAGGAAGUAAAAGUCGUAACAAGGUUUCCGUAGGUGAACCUGCGGAAGGAUCAUUAACGAGUUGAAUUGAAGUUGUUCUGGUCUCUUGGGGCAAGUGAACACUUCUCUCUCAUCCAUCUUACACCUGUGCACUUCUGAGAGGUUGACUAUUAUUAUUUAUUACAACCAACGUUGGUUCACGACUGCGGUUAAAUAGUAGAAACUAGUUGGAAACGACUGUGAUUCUAAUAGUCUUAGUCUCCUCUUAUUUACAUCAUACAACAAGUAUUAGAAAGUCUUUUAUUGCUUGAUGCAAAUAAAUACAACUUUCAGCAACGGAUCUCUUGGCUCUCGCAUCGAUGAAGAACGCAGC